UACGAAGGUGGCAAGCGUUGUUCGGAUUUACUGGGCGUAAAGAGUGCGUAGGCGGCUUGAUAAGUCAGAAGUGAAAGCCCAAGGCUCAACCUUGGAAUUGCUUUUGAAACUAUCUCGCUAGAAUCCGGUAGAGGUUGGCGGAAUUCCCAGUGUAGAGGUGAAAUUCGCAGAUAUUGGGAGGAACACCAGUGGCGUAAGCGGCCAACUGGACCGGUUUUGACGCUGAGGCACGAAAGCAUGGGGAGCGAACAGG
rnacentral:rRNA from 1 species